UACGUAGGGGGCAAGCGUUGUCCGGAAUUAUUGGGCGUAAAGCGCGCGCAGGCGGCUUAUUAGGUCUGAUGUGAAAGCCCACGGCUCAACCGUGGAGGGCCAUUGGAAACUGGUAGGCUUGAGUGCAGGAGAGGAGAGCGGAAUUCCCGGUGUAGCGGUGAAAUGCGCAGAUAUCGGGAAGAACACCGGCGGCGAAAGCGGAUCCCUGGGCCCUGACUGACGCUAAGACUCGAAAGCUAGGGGAGCAAACAGG
rnacentral:rRNA from 1 species